AAAUGCUUUUGAAAAGAGGCUUGUAAUAGCCUACAUUUUCAGAUGAUAAAUUAAAUCCUUAGCCUUCAGAGCACGUGUCUGUUAUCUAAUGUCUCACAAAUUAGGAUGCACGACCAGAAAUCCAGUGACUCACUUGCCAGAUCCACCGGGAGCUUGUGAAGUUUGUCAGUCUGAUUAAGGAGUGGGUCUUUGCCCACUAUGCAGUGGGAGGGAGUUUUUUCAUGCAGCAGAGACCACUGUUACCACGUAACAGAAGCCUUUCCACUAAGUGUCCCGGAUAGAGGUUCAAUUUCCCAGGAACACACAACCAGGCAAGGCCCAACCAGCUAGAGGAAACUGGCGCCAAGCUGGUUUCUUAUCAAAACACAGCAUUACAGGUUUUGGAGGAAGAAAUGGAAUUAUCAAAGGCCCAUCUGCCCCAACUCCAACCUAUUCAAACUCGGAACAGAAAGGCAAGCAAUGUACCUGUUAGCCCUUGUUACUCUUUUUUUAGGGAGCAGUAAAUCUUAUCACUGAAUCAUUAAGUAUUCUUGGAAGACUAUCUAAAGAUGUCAGAAGGGCGCAGCUGGGUGUGUUCCUGGAUGUGGGUCCUGAUGAACGCGCAGGGAGAGGAUGCGCUGGCAGGCGCUGUGCAUCAGCAGAAGCGUGGAGCAUGGCAGAGCCAGGCCCGGGCACUACAGCCCUGACCACCCUUCCCAGGAGAAGCCCCACUCCGCAUUUCUGCGGGGGCUGAAGGAGAGGCCUGGGAUGGGAACCACCUGGGUAACCGAGGCGGCGGAGGCCCUCCUCCCAGGCCCUUCAUUUGGAGCCUAGUUCACACCACGCAUCCGGUAAACCCUGACGCUCAGGGACUCUUGAGCCCUCUGUGGCUCCCUCGCCCUUCAGUGUCACAGGACAAUGGAGCCUCGCCCAGUAGCCGGGCAGGGUCAGAUGAAGGUCUCUGCUUGAAAGGCCGGAGAGGAGGGACCUCCGCAGGCCAUAUCGCAGGAAUGAACGGCGCAUGCUCCAAGCAUCCAGCGGGGAUGCUUGGCCCAGUGAUGCGGGGCAGGGGGUUGGGGGAGGCAGCCAUCCAGGCGUCCCGCGCGUGAAACUCUGGAGCCUUUAUCCCAGCUACGUCUCAGGGCUAAGCAGAGAGAUAAAUACAGACUUCGAAAAGAAAGACAGACUUUUAUAGCAGCUGCAUAUAAAAAACGAAAUCAUUUCAUACAUGUUGAGCAUAAACGAGGUAGCCUACAGAGGUCUGGUGUUAAGAUAUUUGGAUUGGAGCUUUAUGUCUUUUAAAACGUUUUUAGUGGGACUUCCCUGGCGGCUCCGUGGUUAAGACUCCACCUUCUAAUGCCGGGGGUGUGCAUUCCAUCCCUGGUUGGGGAAUUCUGAUCCCACACGCGGAGGGCGCCAGCCAAAAGAGUAAUUAAUUAAUUAAAAUUUUAUUUAGUAA